GUAACAAGGUUUCCGUAGGUGAACCUGCGGAAGGAUCAUUAAACACAGUAGUUUUCUACUGCUUUGGGGGGUUUGAAAGUCCUGGCUUCUCGCUAGGUUACGAGUAGACCUCCUGUUUCUACCCUUGUCUUUUGUGUACUUACGUUUCCUUGGUAGGUUAGCCUGCCAAAAGGACACUUAUAAACUCUUUUAAUCUAUUAUCAGCGUCUGAAACAUUAUAAUUAUUACAACUUUCAACAACGGAUCUCUUGGUUCUGGCAUCGAUGAAGAACGCAGCGAAAUGCGAUAAGUAGUGUGAAUUGCAGAAUUCAGUGAAUCAUCGAAUCUUUGAACGCACAUUGCGCCCCUUGGUAUUCCAUGGGGCAUGCCUGUUCGAGCGUCAUUUGUACCCUCAAGCUAUGCUUGGUGUUGGGUGUUUGUCCUGUCCUCUGUGUAGGGACUCGCCUCAAAUUCAUUGGCAGCCAGUGUAAUUGGUUUUGAAGCGCAGCACAAUUGCGGUUCUCACGUAUUACUGUUGGUAUCCAACAAGCCUUUCUAUCACGUUUGACCUCGGAUCAGGUAGGGAUACCCGCUGAACUU
rnacentral:rRNA from 1 species